rnacentral:rRNA from 1 species
CCUACGGGUGGCAGCAGUGAGGAAUAUUGGUCAAUGGACGAGAGUCUGAACCAGCCAAGUAGCGUGAAGGAUGACUGCCCUAUGGGUUGUAAACUUCUUUUAUAUGGGAAUAAAAUGUUCAACGUGUGGGAUUUUGUAUGUAUCAUAUGAAUAUGGAUCGGCUAACUCCGUGCCAGCAGCCGCGGUAAUACGGAGGAUCCGAGCGUUAUCCGGUUUUAUUGGGUUUAAAGGGAACGUAUGUGGAUUGAUAAGUCAGUUGUUAAAGUUUGCGGCUCAACCGUAAAAUUGCAGUUGAAACUGGCAGUCUUGAGUACAGUAGAGGUGGGCGGAAUUCGUGGUGUAGCGGUGAAAUGCUUAGAUAUCACGAAGAACUCCGAUUGCGAAGGCAGUUCACUGGACUGCAACUGACACUGAGGCUCGAAAGUGAGGGUAUCAAACAGGAUUAGAUACCCCUGUAGUC